UGCAUUGGCUUACAAUAUCCUUCUACUGUAUUAGAAAUCCUCUGAAGUUUCCAGCCCCCAGAUAAGAAGUGUUACGCACAACACCUGUUGCACACAGCCCACCUCACUGCCUCGGUGACCUAAUGGGGGUGGACCCCUUUUCUGUACAGGAACCUCUACUACCGCAUGGCACGGCCUCCUACUGCACACGGCCCACCUCUCUGCCCAGGUGCCAUAAUGGGGUGGCCCCCUCGCUUGUGACUCAUGUGAUUAUGUAUGCCCUAUCACUAAGCCUAUAGAUGAUGACCUCACACAUGACCCUGCCCCCUGCUUGUACCUAAUAAAUACAGAUGCUUCUGGGCAUUCGGGACCUUGCCUGUCUCCGCUCAUAAGUGGCAUGGCCCCCCGAGUCCAGCUGCUCUUCUCCAUUUCUUCAGUGUCCUGUCUCUUUACUUCUCGGAUCCUGCACCUCAGCAUAGCAUAAGGGACACCCCACAACCCAGUGGGGCCAACAGCCCUACAGUACACAGGUGCUGAGGCAGGAGA